CGGGUGGUCGCCCUCACGGCAGGUUAGAUUAAGGAGGAUAUUUUCUUAGAGUGGACCACCGCUUUCAGUAAGACCAUGUCGUCCAUCCUGCCGUUCACUCCACCAGUUGUGAAGAGACUGUUGGGAUGGAAGAAGUCAGCUGGUGGAUCUGGAGGAGCGGGUGGAGGAGAGCAGAAUGGACAGGAAGAAAAGUGGUGUGAGAAAGCAGUUAAAAGUUUGGUGAAGAAGCUGAAGAAAACAGGACGAUUAGAUGAGCUUGAGAAAGCCAUCACCACUCAGAAUUGUAAUACUAAAUGUGUUACCAUACCAAGCACUUGCUCUGAAAUUUGGGGACUGAGUACACCAAAUACGAUAGAUCAGUGGGAUACAACAGGCCUUUACAGCUUCUCUGAACAAACCAGGUCUCUAGAUGGUCGUCUUCAGGUGUCCCAUCGAAAAGGACUGCCUCAUGUAAUAUAUUGCCGAUUAUGGCGCUGGCCUGAUCUUCACAGUCAUCAUGAACUCAAAGCAAUUGAAAACUGCGAAUAUGCUUUUAAUCUUAAAAAGGAUGAAGUAUGUGUAAACCCUUACCACUACCAGAGAGUUGAGACACCAGUUUUGCCGCCGGUGUUGGUGCCCCGGCACACGGAGAUCUUAACAGAGCUGCCCCCUCUGGACGACUACACCCACUCCAUUCCGGAAAACACUAACUUCCCAGCAGGAAUCGAGCCGCAGAGUAAUUAUAUCCCAGAAACGCCACCUCCUGGAUAUAUCAGUGAAGAUGGAGAAACAAGUGAUCAACAGUUGAACCAAAGUAUGGAUACAGGAUCUCCAGCAGAAUUAUCUCCUACUACUCUUUCCCCUGUUAAUCAUAGUUUGGACUUGCAGCCAGUUACUUACUCAGAGCCUGCAUUUUGGUGUUCAAUAGCAUAUUAUGAAUUAAACCAGAGGGUUGGAGAGACCUUCCAUGCCUCACAGCCCUCACUCACCGUAGACGGCUUCACAGAUCCAUCAAAUUCUGAGAGGUUCUGCCUAGGUUUACUCUCCAACGUAAACAGAAAUGCUACGGUAGAAAUGACAAGAAGACAUAUAGGAAGAGGAGUGCGCUUAUAUUACAUAGGUGGGGAAGUUUUUGCUGAGUGCCUAAGUGAUAGUGCAAUCUUUGUGCAGAGCCCCAACUGUAAUCAGAGAUACGGCUGGCACCCUGCAACCGUGUGUAAAAUUCCACCAGGCUGUAAUCUGAAGAUCUUCAACAACCAGGAAUUUGCUGCUCUGCUGGCUCAGUCCGUUAAUCAGGGUUUUGAAGCCGUGUAUCAGCUAACUAGAAUGUGCACCAUAAGAAUGAGUUUUGUGAAAGGGUGGGGAGCAGAAUACCGAAGGCAGACGGUAACAAGCACUCCUUGCUGGAUUGAACUUCAUCUGAAUGGACCUCUGCAGUGGUUGGACAAAGUAUUAACUCAGAUGGGAUCCCCUUCAGUACGUUGCUCAAGCAUGUCAUAAAGCUUCAUCACCAAUCAAGUCCCAUCAAAAGACUUAAUAUACCAACUCUUCUGUCAUAGUAUUUGUGUGUGGUCCCUGUGGACUGUUUACUAUCCAAAAAUUCAAGAGAAAACAGCACUUGAGGUCUCAUCAAUUAAAGCACCUUGUGGAAUUGGUUUCCUAUGUUCGAAUAUUAGAUGGGAAAAUUAAUGUCUAGAAAUACUCUCCCGUAAAGGAGGAAGAGAAGAUUUUAAAGACUUACUGAUGUCUUGUUGGGCAUAAAACUGAGUGUCCCAAAGGUUUAUUAAUAACAGUAGUAGUUAUGUGUACAGUGUAGCAUGGCAUCCAUCACCAUCAAUGAUUGCACUGAUACUGCCAGCACCAGUUAAUUCUGGGUACAAUGAGAAUUCAUAUGGAGUAAGUCCCUUUGUCUUACACCAAAUUUCAGUUUCAACAGGUAAUAAUAGACUUAUGUAACCUGGCAGUCUUUUGAUUUAUCUUUACACCUCAUAAAAAAUGCACAGGUGGCAGUAUAAUUAUUUUCAGGGAUAUGCUGCAAUUAUUUCGAUAUAUUUAUCCUUUCUGAAAAUUCAAUCUAUAAAUAUAAACACUCUUUUUUAAAAGAUACUUUCAAAUAUUUCAGUAGCAAACCUAGUGCUCUUUUGAAUUGAAUUUCAUUGGAUUUAAUUACCAGAUUGUCUUAUGAAAUGGACCUUUUGUAAAUCUAAUUGCUUUGGCAGAAUACCUAGAAAAGUAAUGCUGAGGUCUGAUCAGCAGAUAGGGGCCAUCUGUUUUUAAGGUAUGUUGUAUUAAAUUUAUAAAAUCUAUUUUAUUUUACAUAAUUAUGAAUUCUGAAUUGUAAAAUUCGGGGGAGAAGCCGUUUAGCAAGUUUUUUAUCUUGUGAAUACCUGUGGUCUGAGCUGUUCUUAACUAAUGCUGAAUAUGUGGUGACUUAGAAGCCACCGUACUUCAAGCUCUGCAGGGACAGGCAUGACCAGAGGUGUCAAAAGCUCUGUUGAAAGUCGACAGCAGAUAAUCCUUAUUUUAUCUAGUUUAUUGUUAACUCAUUCCAGUUUAAACUUUUCUUGUUUGCAUCUCAAUAGGAACAGCCAGUAACCACUCCCUAGUCCCCUUCUAGUAAGUUUUCAUAUUUUUAAAGACAGAUUAUCUUUGGUUGGUACUUGUGUUUUAAAACCAUGUUCACCUGUAUGUACAGGUGUUUAUUUUCAAUACUUUCAGCAUUUGAUUGUUUUCUGUCAGAUAUUGCCCGUUUUCCUAUGUUUGUGUAUGCAUGUAUAUGUUCAUGUAAACUUCGUAGAGUGAUUUUUCGCUCUACAGAUAUUUAUUGUUCACCUGUUACGUGUGCCAGGAACUUUCUUAGCCUUUGGGUAAAGGUGAACAAGACAGCUAUGGCCCUUGCCUUUGCACAGAUAGCAGUUACUCUAACACUUAACUAGCGUAUUGUCUAUGAAGGAGAUAUAAACAGGGUACUGUGAUAGAGCAAAGCAGAGGGAAAGCUUCUGUAAAGAAGUGAUGCGUGAGGAAGGAGCCAGCCAUGUGGAGAGCCAGGGAAAAAUAGGCUUUCUCUGCAAAGAAAAUUGCAUCAAAUGCAAAGGCGUACUUUAAAGGAAACUCAUCAUUUAUUAGGUGUUUAUGCUUUAUACAAAAACCUCUUCACAGAUCCAAACUUGAGGAUCAGAUUGGUUCUACAAUUUAUAAUAGUUGAAGGUGGCCUUAUUUUGUAAUGGACUGCUUCAUGUGUCAUUCUUGUUAGUAUUUCCUCUUCAAGUCCUUACUAUAAAGAGUUUGUACCAGGUCACUGCCAUUUAAUGGAACAACCCUUUCUUUAAUUCUGCCUUGGGCAAAUUUCACCAUUGUAGCAACUGACUGCUUGCUUCCAGACGUCCUGCUGCCCACUGAUUACUGCUUGUCCAGCCUGUCUUGUGGAUGGUAUAAAUGUCCCAGGUAUCACCACCGUCAGACCUGUUGAAAGUGUGGAGGUUCUGCCCUUUGCACUUGAGAGGUUGUGUGAUGUUAGGGAAUACUGUUCUUUGUCUGGGGUCAAAGAACGACUCAAAAUGGUAGAAACUCCUGGCUGUUACUUUUGCAUUGACAUGUUAAGCAAAGCAGUACCAUCUGUAGCAUUUCAGUGAUGGAUCACAUCUCUACAGUUACGGUGGGAUUCUUCUGUACAGUAUGAAGCUGGGACUCAACUCUUUGGAAGCACCUAUUGUUUUCAGUAGUUAGACCAGUCAAGCAGUUGACUUGAUGGUGGUGGUGGUUACAUUUGUAUGAAUAUGUUCAGUGGUCUUAAUUUGCUUUUUAAUGAGAUGUUGGGUUUGCAUUUUGUUUUUCCACUGUGGCCUAAUUUUUGCUGAUUAUUUUUUUCUUUAUAGGGUUUGUUUUCGUUCUUCUAAGUGAUAAGAUCUCUCUGUAGAAUUUUAUCUUUAUUUAAAUUAGCAACAUCAUUAAGAAUUUUUUCUACACAGUGCUGGUAAUGUCCUCAGUUUAACAACAUGAGAACUGAAGGAUCAUGCUUUCUAUCACAUUUCCAAAAUAAAUGGGGGUUCUCACACUGGAUUACAUACACCUUAGGGCUGGUUUAGGGAAUUGGUGGCUGGGAUGUUCCCACUGACUUUGGCCUGGCUGGCCAGUGGCAGCUUCAUUUUUAUUCUGUAUUGGAGUUCUACAUAGAUUUCUUUUUUUUAAAGUUUCGCUGCUUAAAAAAAGUUUGCUUUCCUGACUGGGUUUGAACUACACCAUACUAACUAACUGUAAUUGUACAUUAUGAUAUACAUUUAUUCAGUGGGCACUUAACUGGUGCCUGUUCUUUGCCCAGCCAGUGUGAUGGAUGCUGAGUGGUAAGAUGACCAGGGCUUGGUACUGAGUCUUAGUCUUGUGGGGGUUUCUUUCUCCCUCAGGACCCGUCACUUUGUCAGAAGAAAACCUGCCUAAUUUUUCUUGAAAGCUUAAUACUCUUGUUCUGUGCUCUUAUGCUGUAUUCUGAAUAUAUACUUGCAAGUUGUUAGUAUCUAAAGGUUUUUUAAAACCUUAAAUCAUAUUUAAGGUUUUUGCUUAUUACUUCAUCUGUUCUUUAGACAUUGCCAGAUUUUCUCCUUUGUUAAAAUUAUUUUAAUUUCACUUUAUUUGUGCCUUUAUUGUCAGUUUCAUCAAGACUAAGAUUUUGAAGGUGGAAAACAAUCCGUCUAGUCUCUUGCUAGUUCAAAUCAAAUAAAAGAGAACAUGUACACAGUUGGUUUCUCUACCUCUUCCAAAAACUGUCCAAAUAUAUCUUUAACAUCCUUUUUUAAAAAAAAAAUACUUUGAGCAUUUAUUCAGUAAUCAGCACCUUCCUGGUCUGGUUGAUGGUGGUAUGUAAUAUAACGCAAGACAAUCCUCACUGUUCUUAACAUCUGUCUUUAUGUACAGUCCUGACUUUCAUAGCUGAAUGGUUCUGAAUCACAGAUUGCUGCCCCUCCACCAUUCCCCCAGUAUCUCUUUAGAUAAUUAAGUAGUCUGUGGACGUAAGCAACCCAUGAUCUUGUCUCUUACUCUGGUGCAGCGCAUUGAGAUUUAGACAUAACAAUUUACUGACUAUUUUCUUUCCUUCAUGAACUCUGUUUUACUGAGCCCUUUUUAUUCAUCAGCUGAAUUUCUUUCUUUCUCCCUUCUCUUGACAGCACGUAUCCCUAGUGGUUUUGCUGAUUGCCCCCUUCCUUUCCAACCAUGUUUUAUCUGCAUACAUCAGAGUGUUUCUCUCCUUUGAACUUUACUAAAGACCAAAAAGGAUGGUGCUGUUCAUACCCAGGGUCCUAACUUUUUUCACCACGAAGGUUGAUGUUCAGAUUAGCUAAGUCACUUAUAAAUGGUUCAGAAAUUCUAUCCAGUUUAAAUGUGUAUGUGUGUGUAAGAUGAUCAAAUAGCAUGAAUCAUCACAUUCUGUUUAAAUUGUGUUUAGGAUUAUGAACUUUCCCAGCAGUUGCAGCCAAUAAUUUCCCCAUAAUACCAGCCCAGUUUCCAACUUGGAGCAUAUUGAGUUGUUGUAUGUAGUACAAUCAAGUGUAAUGACGAUAGUGUGUGAUGUCCAGAGGUUGUCAGAAUUCUGCUGAGUUCUUUUUACUAUCUUCCAUUUCAAAGUUUUUAUAAAUAUUUUGUCUGUUCAGACUACCUUUUGUGGGGAUCAAGGGACAAAUUUUCUCUUGGGAGUGGAAUUCCUGUGUUGGGAGCCUCGACCAGGAAAUGUGAGCUAUACGAGAUACAGAUAGCCUCAUGAUCGCUUUUAUGAUAAGUUGUCUGAUGUGUUCACAUAAUUUUUUGGGUAGGAACUGUUUUCUCUUGGAUAUUAUAGCUAACUUUAUAUAUAGCAUAAACUGCCUUAAGUCUUUUUAGUAGGGAAUAAAUUAUAUAAUGUGUAUGUAUGGAUUUAUAUAUACAUAUACACUCAUAUAAAAAUCUUAACAGUAGGGGUUGUUUGCACACAUUUUAACAGUGUUCAAUGAUUUUAUUGUUUAGAUCUCAGUAAAAAAUUCUAAGUUGCUUGCAGACAUCUUCCUUUCAUGGACCGACCAUCAGGGUAAAUUUUUUAUUCUGCUAGUGUCCUAAUUUCGUGGUUCUGUUAGUAUGCCAUUUUUAGGCAGCUUGGCAAUUAAGAAUCAGAACUGAAACUGACAUCAAAAAGAAGCUCUGAGUGGUCUCUGUGGAAGGUACUGACUUAAGAUUACAUUUAAAAACUUUCUUAAUAGUAAUGUUAGGUUGUGUGCCCCCUGCCCCUACGCUUUUUUCCCCCUGGCAUAACUGCUGCUUUAGAUAACCUGGGAAGUACCACUACCAAGUCAAGUUUUCCUGUAAUUAAGGAUAGCCUAAAGAUGACUUUCUUAGCUGUGCUCAACAGAAAUGAAUUUUCCAAAAUUCUUUGGGUCAUUUCUGAUUUACGGAGGAUCUGACCAGAGUGUAUUAUUAGCCUGAGUUAACUUCAGUGUCAGUUGGUUUGCUGCCAUGAGAUCCAUAAUAGACCCAGAUUUUCACUGUUGGUUGAGAUGUAAGGGCCCUUUGAAAGAAUAAUGCCGCUGAAGAGGAAGUGAGUAUUCAUUAACUCCACACAAAGGACUUUUAGAUUUUUCUUCCUGCACUCCUGAUAAUAUUCUUCUACCCUCUUUUAAAAAAAAAACAAAACAAAAAACCUCUUACUGUCCCCAGAAUUUCUAGUCUGCUCUUUUACAAGGUUGGGGGUGGGUGGGUGGGGUAGUGGGAAGGGUUUUACUUUCUCUUCUGAUUAAAGAUGCUUAUUUAUUCAUGAACCGUGAAAUUCAUAAUAUAUUGAUUUAAGGACAGAAGUGAAGUUUUAGAAUUGUAAAAAUACUUAACUAUUAUAUAUUUUUCAUUUCACACUUGACUGUUUUUUUCUCCCUGUGGCUUUAAAGUUUUUGGCUGUUUUUCAGUGUUAGUCUCUAGGUAAUUUGCUGUAUUUCUGGUUCUGUAUGAAGUCCUACCGUUUACACUGCUGUGGCAUAAAGUUGGUUCUCAGCAUAGAAGUCUUCCUAAAGUCUUUUUCUUCCAAAGAGAUUUUCCUUUCUCAAUAAUUCCUAAGAUGAUACUUGUUUGUCACUUUAUUCACAUUCUUGGAUUGUUCAAACAAAAAAAAAAUUGUUGGUGAAAAAGAUUAGGGUCCUUUUCUGAUGAAUGUAUGUACCUGCAUUAAGAAUGUAGUCAUUUGUCAGUUUUAUGUAACUAGUAUACACACAGAUUAAAUCAGGAGAAAGAAUUAUCUCUUACAUAGCAUGUAGGUCACAUGCAUGGAUUUUACAUUUUUUAAAAAUGCCCUAUUUUUUUGGCAAACUGUAGAACCCAAAAUGGUCAUUUCUUAGACCAGCUUUACCUCAGGCUUCAUUUUUGCUGUUUGACCUUGGGCCUUUAAGGCAUAAAUAUUUAUAUCUUUUUAUUACUGAUAGUGAAACUGUGACACAAACCAUUUCUGUAAUACAAGACGGCAAAACAAGAAAAACUAUAAAGAUUAAGAUGAAAGCAGUUGUGCAGUUGUCGAGCUCGAUCAUAGCGUUAUAGGCAAAAUAAAAAUGUGCCUAUCUGAGAAUAUUUUUUUUGCCGUCUCUCCCCAAGGCCAGACCUUCUGGUAGAGCACAGUUAAAAGUAACAUAAUUCUGGGCCUUUAUAAUCUGAGGGAAAUGGCUCCAGUUGGCAGUCUUCUUGUUAACAUAUGAAGCCAGAAUGUGGGAAAUAGUUGGCAAAGAGUAUUUUCACCCAAAAAAAAGAAUAUGAAAAGAUAUAAAACUGGAUUAUUCAUUCCGCUCUGAAAAAUCUCAAAAAGAUAGAGUAAAAUACUAUAUAACUGGACAAAACCUGAAGAACCUUUAGAGGAUUUAUGUGAAAACGGGCUUCAAGGAUGAACUGUUACAUGCUCACCAGUUUCUUUAGGUUUGAUCCACCUGUUCUUAAAGUAAGGUAUUUGUGGACUUCUAGGAACUAGCGAUUAGCAGGUGUCCUAAAAAGACUUUUGAGCUGAUUCCCUCAUAAGUAGCCCUAUAUGCUCUUGAAGAUUCUGACCCUUCCUCUAGAGACCCUAAGGGAGGAAUGAGUAUGCUCUUAGGGUGGCGACCUGCCCUGGCAUGCCUGGGACUGAGGUGAUCCCCUUGGAUGCAAGACUUUGUGAGUGCUAAACCCAGGAAAGCCCAGGCCCACACAGCAAGGAGGGGCUGAUAGCCCUGGCUGUUGCUGUGACUUAACCUCACCUUAAACAUUGUACUAGUUUCAGUUAAGUUCACCUGCCUUAUGGCACGUGUCCUCCGGUCACUUAUUACUGUGGAUGGGAUGUGAGAUUUAUGACAAAUAAUAGCCAAUGGCACCAAUGUGCUCUUGGCAGUGAGACUAACAGUAAUCCAGGGAAGAUACCAGUGGUUGAAUGAAAGGAAAGAGGCAACUAGACAGUGAAGUUCUUCAGAACCUGUGUGUAUAUGUAAGUACAGAUCAUGUCUUUAUGGGGUUAAAUUAUUAUAUCUGAAAUUUAAAUUCUCAUGGUAAAAGAAAACUGAGGAGCGUGGGUCUUUUCUCUCGAGGAAAAGAUACGGCCUUUGAUGCUCUAUCUUCUACUGCAUUCCCCAGACUGUCCUGCUCAAGAAGCCAGAAUGUGGCAUUAUUAUGUUUAUUCUCAGUGAAUGUCGUAUUGCGAUUACUAAAUGCAUCAGCCAAUGGCAGAUCAAGGAACUGGUGUCCUGAUCCACACUGAGCAGCGCCCUCAGGUGCUUACCAGCUACGACACCGACCACGGGAGGCAGGACUCCUCUAAGACGGCGUUGAUUUUGUAAUGCAAUAUGAAGGGUGCAGAGUCUGUUCUUGUUCCCCUGUGGCAGUCUGCAGACUGCAUCCUCUCUGUGCACUGUGAUGUAGACGGUAGAUGUGUUCUUUGUAAGCUUUAAUCUUAUGAUUGUCAGAAGUAUGAUGUUCCAUUUUUUUAACAUUAAACAGUGAGCUGAGGCUUUAUUUCAGCUGGUUUUCAAGUUAAAGUUGUGAAAUACUGAUUUCCUUCCCUCCACCCACACCAAAUACUUUAGUCUAUUUAAAGUACAAAAAAAAAAAAAUAGUUCUACUUAAGAAAACACUGCUUAAAUGUCCUGUGAUUUCUGGUCCAAUUUUAUAUAUUUGUGUGUGUCUGUAUGUGGUUUCACUUUUUAUCUUGUUGGCUCUCUACCUGUGUUAACAGUACUGUCACCAUUGAAAGGUGAACAUUUUUCCUAGCAUUAAAAAAAAGCCAUUUGAGUUGUUUACCAUGUUAUUAUGGGACUAAUUUUUUUAUUGUUUUCAUUGAUCUUGAUCUAAACUGAUUUUUUUUAAGAGGGGAUUAUAUUUUGCUGACCACACUCUAAAUGAUAUGGAAACAAAAAGUUUUUUGUGUGUAUCUCACAUAAUGGAAUUAUGCUAUUGAGUGCCUCUUUUUAUUUUUUAAGUUUGGUGUGUUAUAUGAAAAGUUUAUCCCACUCCCCUGGCAGACAGAUAUACACUGCUUGGUGUACACGCACACAGCACAUACCUCACAGAGCUAGUUGAUUAGGCAUUUUAGUUUAUUUCAGAGCUUUCCUGUGCCAAACUAACGAUCUGAUACACACGAUUGUUCAGUGAACAACAGACUAGAAGGUGAAAUUCACAUUAACCUUCAAAAUGUACUCUUAGCAAAAAAAGCAAUUGGUAUUUUUAAAAGACUUCAUUGAAAAAUAGUAUAUAAUACAUACUCAUAAUUGUAUCAUUGUUAUGAAAUAAUUGAGAAACAAACUUUUUACAUCAACCAGACUUUCUUUGUGCCUUGCGAGAGCUCAGUUCCUAGGAUGAAUCAAUACUUCUGAAUCGUUAGCAGGCUGUUUACUUCAGACCAUUUAAGACGCUUACUUUAGGAUGCUUCAAAAAGGACUUCAAAAGCUAAAAUGCACUAUGCUACUUGGUACUGAACAACCCAGAGACUAGCUUGAUUUUGUUAACAAUUUUGUAUUGGUAGGAAACCUACUUAAAUCCUGCCUAAAUUAGCUACACCAGACAGCUCUAUUAAUCUAAAAGGAGCCAUUGAUUUUCAGCAUGACUUCAGUUGACAGGUGACUAAAACAGAUCCUUUUCCUGUCGUCACUUCACCCUGGGAACAUUCCUGUGUGUUAACCUACUGAUAGUGAUGCUGGUUAUCUGCACCAUGAGAUUUUUAGGACAAACCCCUGUGUCCAUAAUUGCACGUAUUCAGUGGGCCGAAGAGUACGAGAGAAGUAUUGUUUGCAUCUUUGGACUUUACCUGCAUUUGGCAAAUGCUUUUAUCCCACUUGCUUCAAAAUAGAUGGAAAGUCCCAGUGUGGGAAGCACGCCUAUUAAUACCAAACAAAUGUAUUUCGAUGCACUCCUUCUCGGCACCAGGUGUGCCCAGGAACUAGAGUGAAGACCACGUUCAUCUACUGCUCAAGAAUAUAUUUAUACCAUGCAGUUGUCCAGCUUCUUUUUAACACACUCUCAUCCUUUUCAUCAAAGUAAUACAAGAUAAGCCCAACCUAAAAAUUAGAAAUUUGCCAAUGUAAGAAAACAGCAUACUUAAAAGCUGUUUGCUGCUGCAGUGAGUAGAUACCGAGAUGCUAGUUUGCAUUCUUAAAGUCAACCACAUUAGUUGAGGGCAAGAACAUUGACUCAGACUUACAGGUAGUAAGUUUGUGAUAAGACCGCAUGAUCUUUGGGGAGGUGCAAGACAACACAGAGUAAAUUACUGUGUCCCAGUCUUCGGUCCAAGCUACAUGACUUUGUUACAGAAUAAAUUGAGUGUGGGAUACGUAUCUGCCAUAGAUUUUACAAUCUUGCAAUUGUUUUGUUGGCUGCCUUUGCACCUAUUAAUACCUAAUAAGGUUGCUUUAAAAGUGGUUUAGGAAAGAGAUAACAUCACAAAGAGAUGGAGAGGAAUUUUGGGGCCAGUCAGAAUGAGGUCUUGGAACAGAACUUGUGAAUCUGAAUGUGCAUGAAAGCUGGACAACUACUGAGCUCCUAUGUGUGGUGAGCAGGAAGCCGACAGCCACAAGCUGAGUGGGAGCUACUGCAAAGCCCACACCUAAUAAUAGAACCUCGAUAGCUAGGAGUAAAAGCCAUAGCUAGCUCUACACCUUGGGUCUCACUCUGUAUAGAGGUUGUGCUACUGAGCUGGCUGACUUGAGGACGUUAGUACACCAGCCAUAGCCCCAGCCCAGGGUGGAGUGCUUGUUUGGGGAAGGGGGGACUUAAACAUGUACAUAUACAUGUGUGUGAGCGAAAUUUAACACUUUCCUCAGCUGGAGAGGAUCCUAGAGAGCCCUCUGAGGUUUUAUGCAGAAUUUUGUGUAUAUAUCAUAUGCAGACCUUCAUGGUGAGAAGUGGCCCUCAUCAGGCCUUACCCACUGCCCAACAGCGAUUCCAUUGAGACCACCCAUCUUGAGCUUAGAAUUAACUCUGAUUUUAAAUCUUGUUUAAGGGUUUUUUUCUUGAGAGAUCUUGACUCUUAAGUGAUACUAAUUUCUUCUUGGCAGUAUUUGAUCACAGUAUUUUAAAUAUAGAUGCUAUGUAAAUAAGAUUUUAAUAUAAUUGAUGACUCACUUUGAAAUAGUUUUCAUUUUUGAAGUAUGUUUAGGCUGCAGUGGAAAAAAAUAAUUUUCACACACCCAGCUUAACAUCUGGAAUCAAAAGUAUUCUAGGUUGCCUUUUUAUUGGGUUGGCCCAAAAGUUCAUUCAGGUUUUCUUUUAAGAUAAUGUAUUGAAAAUAUUUUUACAUUGAAAAAAAUAGAUUAGAGUCUUUGUUUUACACAAAAACCACAAGCUACUUUAUUCCAACUUUUAAAUCAAGAUCUUGAAUAAUAGCAUGUGGUAUCACCACAUUUUAAAAAUGUACUUAGUCAAUCACAAACACAUUUUCUAAGGAAUUGAAUUUUAUAGAGAUAAUUGAAUGCUUUCAUCUGUAACAGAAUUAGUGGCCUACAAACCACUGUGGUUUCUUGCUUUGUUCUGAAGUUGUUAAAGGGGGAAUUUUCUGCUCCAAGUUAUAUGCAUAAAGGAAGUACGAUGCAAAGUAAAAUUCAAUUUUAAAUUCUAAAGCAACAACCACUGACAAAAUGUCCUCUUAAAAGUUUAACUACUUUUUUAACUAAGCAGCUGUUUUCUUGUCUUUUAUCAUCCCAGUAUCUAGGUGCUUAUCAAAUAUAUUAGUAAAAUCAAGCUAAACUAAAUUUGAAAUAAAAUUUCUAGUAAUGUCUGUGACUUUCAUUCACCAAAAUGUUACUUAAUUCUCUGUUCUGCUUCCUCCUAUUUCCAGCCCACCCUUAAAAACUUCUGCAAUUAAAGUAACCCUAGAAAACUGCCUUAUCUUAGAACAUUUCAUUGGAUUAAGAGCCAAAAUCACAAAAGGGAGAGAUGUCUGAGAGUCUGAUUUGUUAUUACAUCUUUCAGAAGAUCACCUUUAAAAUGGACACAUAUUUCAUAUAUCCUCUUUUAAUUUAUAUUUUCACUGGUAUUUCACUCUAUUGCCACCAAGGAGCAGCUAAUCUUCACAUUUACCAUUUGCAUAAUUAGUGAUUGGCCGAAGAGGAGUAUUGAAGAUAAAAUCUAAGAUGAGAAAUGGUGGGAGAUUUAUAUAAUUUAGUCUCUCUUGGUUGUCUGGCUCUUUCUCAACUGUGAAUAGCAAUGUUUCAAAAGACAUUUAAGCAACAAGGUGCUAAGGGUGGAAUGCUUGAAGAAAACAACCCUGUAAUGGUCAACUACUUCAGUUAUCUUGAAUAAUGAAAUAAAACUCAGUUGCCUUUUUAAACAAA